rnacentral:miRNA from 1 species
UCCCAUGCAAUAUUUGGGACAUACUUAUACUAAAAAUUGUGCUGUUUAUAUGAACUUAAAAUUUAAUU